ACGACGCUUGCGCAGUACGCAGCCUGCCCAAGCCGGCCACUAGCUCUGACAAGCUUAAGUGCACGCUGUCAGAAUAGCGGAUACUUGUUCUCAGCUGCGCUUCGCCCAACGGCUUUCUUGCUCCCACCUCUUUGACGUCCAUCCGCGCCUUCGCCGUUUUUUCUGCUACAGCAGGUCAGCCUCUCGCCUCAAAACGGGAACUGUUGCACUGUCGUUCACAGUAUAAUACAUUGUGACUUGUGGUGUACGCCGUAGUACCUUGCGCCGUGGUUGUCAGCGCGACUUUCCUGCCUGUGACUCACGUCGCUGCCUGGAAAAUUCGAGUGAACUUUGACGCCUAUAACGUCGUCGCUACGACACAGUUUUCAUGUGCCACGGACAACGUGCUGUCGGAAACCAUCCACAUAUGGGACCGCCAAACGGCUGACAAAGCUGCUGGUCAAAUCGCAGCGCCUCUACAUAGCGGACCCUUCCACGGUCACGUUAUUUGGACGGGGUGAAAGAAAACGACAAGUUACAAGAAACGCCUAAAGUGUCACCGGAACGCGCCCUCAUUGGCCACCCGAGUGGAUGCCCCCGGGCGCCCUCUCCACCCGAGCUCUCUUCCACUGAGUGCCUCAUCACCAUGGCAGAUGCUCGCAGGCCCCCAAAGAGUUACAAGAAACGUUCAAAGUGUCACCGGAACGCGCCCUCAUUGGCCGCCCGAGUGGCGGCCCCCGGGCGCCCUCUCCACCCAAGCUGUCUUCCACUGAGUGCUUCAUCGCCGCGGAAGAUGCUCACAGGCCCGCAAAGAGGUGGAUACACUGCACGUUUGCUCCCGCUGCUCCUCGUUCUCGCGCUUGGUGGACCGCUUCCCGGUUAGUCCUAGCGCAGCGGGAACGUGUUCUCCAUCGUUCUUGCGGUGAGCCUUUGCCCGUAUCUUGGAUGAUUAAACCCGUGUUUUUUGGCGAUCCGACUCUGGAAGCUUCUCUGCGCCCUGCCGUACAGCAGGGGAACACUGCGGCAGCGCCUUUGUGUGCUGUGAAGUCGAGGAGCGUCGUGCCCUAUCCUGACCGUCGCUUUUAGGGUGGGCCAUGCGCAAGCCCAUCUCCACAUA